CUCUGCCCUCUGAUAUCUUCAAGUCUAGGAAACUAAUAGCUUUCAUGGAAGAGUAGGCAAGUAAGACAAUGAAGUGGCUGACAUCAGGAGAAAACGGCCUGCUUUGCUCCCACAGCCAGAUGCUCUGGUCCAACUUCCUCCAGGCAAGAGGGUACCUAAUGCAAUCACCCUGCCUGAAUUUGUUCUUUUAUUCAUUCUUGUUGCCAUCAACCUCCUCUUGCCAGGAAAGAUAUGGCCUCAGGCAUAUGCACCAGGCAGAAAUUGGAGAAUGUUUGUAAUUCAACAUGGUGAGAGAUAUGGAGAACAUACUCUGGGGACCAGAGCAGUGCAUCUUGAAAGGCGUUCAUCAAAGAAAGAACAUACUUUCUUGAUGGAAUGUAUGUUUCAUGGGAGAGGAGAAAGGGAAGAAGAAGCAAGUUUUCCGUGUGAAAAGAACAUAAGCAUCUCCUUCGCUCUGAACUUCACUGCUCUUGACCUCAGCAAUUCUUUUCUGCCUCUUCAUUCCACACAAUGCAAAAGACAUAACCUGAAUGAGAACAGGACAGAAAAAGGUACUGAAAUCCACUAAAGAAAAGGCUCAAUAGUUAAUCAGCUCUUCUCUGGCAUCCUUCCCUCAACCAUACAAUAUAAACAAAUUAAGGAGUUCUUCAAUUUUUGUGACCAUAAGCAGAGUGGUGAAUUAAGGUUCCUAAAUGCUAGCACUGGAUAAAUGAAUUCAUUAUUGAGAAAGUUCUGGAUGAGUCAGUAGCCAAGGAUUUAAUAACUCCACUGAAGAUGCCUGUUUGUGUAUAUUCUAGGGUAGAGUUGGAAGAGAAAUAUUGCUAUGAAGGAGGCACUAAACAUGUCUGCUUUUAUUAAAUAUUGCAUUUCAAACUAAAGAUUUACUAUGCUUUUCUAAAAGAACUCAAAAUUCUCCAAGAUAUGCAACGUGGUUCUCAAAAGCUGCAUCAGCAUGUAGGUGGUUACAACUACCUAAUGAGUUUUGACGGAUUAAAUAUCCACCUGGAAUAGAAUCAGGAUGCACUCAUAAGAAAGCCUUCGGGGUCACUGUCCACCAUGGAAACCCUCUGUACAGACAGCUGAGAGUCUCCAAAAUGCCACUCUGCACAACUCCUGAGGGACUCUCUAUAGGAAGUCCACCUUUAAUAUUUUCAUUUGUGCCCUCAAUACAUUUCCAGCAUUCUUAAUUCAUAUGCAGAAUUUUCUUUAAAUUGGAUCCACUUUGCAAAUCCUUCUUUUCCCUGCAAAGCUUUAUCUAAACCUCAGUGCCUGAGUGCCGGCUACUCCCAGCAGCGUAGAAGCUCAGAGUCAGAAAGCACUGAGUGCUUCUGGACUGCAGCAAGCCUUUCCAUUUGCCGGUUUAAUCCUUCAGACUUCCCGGUUUCCCAUUUGGUCCUUCACAUCAUCUUGGGCUAAUCCGUCAAGCAUUUUAGACAGCGCAGCCAAUCUCCAAUUGCUGAGGACUUUGCCACAAGCACCAUGUCUGUUAAUAAGAUUUUCAUUUGGAAAGAUGCCAGGGCGUCCAUGUUUUCUCUCACAUAUAAAUACUAAGAUUUAAUAGCUGCAGGUUUUGUUUAAUGUUAACGUCAACUAUUUAAAAGAGAAAAAAAAGAAAGAAGGUUCUCAAAUGCCUGGCCCACAGUGAAAUACCCCACUGACAGCUAUUUGCAAGGGUAAUGUUGUGGAAAACAACAUCCAUCUUGGAAACAGUUUCAUUAGCCCCAUCUAGCUGACCUCCCCACAUAAUGUUGUCAAAUGUGACGGGCAUCAGAUUAUUGGGAAUAUGGAGAUCAAUAAAUAUGCAACACCGGCGCUUAGAAUGCUUCUGGCACCGGAGUCAUACAAAUGCCAUCUAA